CCAAUGCCACGCGGUGAGACUAUGGACUUCAGGAUCUACGGAAACAGCUUCCUUAAGAGUGGAAUAAUAGGAAGGAUCAUGCACUCCCUGCACUCCUGAGAUCACAACGGGCCACGUGACCUGCCACUAGUGUCCAUCAUUUUGAAACAGAGCUUUGAAGAUCCUUUUCCUGUGCUUCAAGACCAUGACAGACAGCUCACUCUUCUGGUGGGUUGUUGGCUUUCCCUGGACCCCCUCCUCGGGCUGCUGCUGCACUCCGCUCCUGCUUCCACUGUUCCACGCAGCUGCAGUCAGCCUCACAUUUCAA